rnacentral:tRNA from 1 species
CUUAGGCAAAUUACUGAUUUCAGUAACUUAGUAUUUCAGUAACUGGCGCUCACAGGCAAAUGCGUAAUGGAUUAACCCCAUAUUAUUUAAAUGCUUCCAAAAAGCUAUAGGAAAAUGGCCAUUAAAAACAAACUGACAAAUUUAGCCAACAAGCCACUAUUUGACAAUUCUGCAAGCUUAUUUUUAAAAUUCAGCUUAUCAAAACUGCCAUUCCAGAAGCCAGGGACCUGAGUUUCCAUAGAGGAUGGAGUAGAAUGGAGGGGCCUCUGUAUAAAUCUACCUCCUCGGGAACUGGGACAGUUCAGCAUUCACCAGAGUAACAUAUGAAGAAACAGGAGAUUCCUACAUGCUCCUGGGGAUCCAGAAGAGAGACCACUCACAUGACUGGAAGAUUUCCAGCUCAGGGAGUGCUGGUUUGCCACAAAACUCCAUCGUAACUGAAAGAGGAAAUCUUCUACAAAUUCCAGAGACCUUCUUGGAGGAUGAGAAGCAGCCACUAGUUGACAGGAGGGGAAGUGAGGCAUGUAGUCUUCAAGGGAGCAGACCACCGUGGGAGUUAUAAAAGACCAGCGACGCCUCUGGGUGGGUUCGAACCACCAACCUUUUAGUUAACAGCCAAACGCGCUAGCCGAUUGCGCCACAGAGACAUGGCUGAGCUCCUAAUUUCGUUCUAUAAGAGGGUAAGCUGUCACUAAACGCUAGCUAGCACCAUCCGCCUUUUGCAAAAUGACUGGGUAAUCUCCAAAGCCUCGGAAAGCCGGAGCAGUCAGAGCGACGAAUCUACUUGUUUGUCAAGUUUGAAACCUGUGCAUUGAGUGAUUCCGAAACGCCCCGCACCCCGCCUUGCCUGCCUCAGAAGCCGGCGCUUCCGGAGAUGCCGGGAUCGCGACUCCUGUUAGAGCGACUUGGGCCCCAGGGAAGCUGAAACGCCCAGGGCGCUCAAUUAGGACUUGUUGAAUUAAUAAUACAUUUGAGAGACAGAAUAUACAAUCGAACAAUGGCCGGACUAUACGUAAAAAUAUAACUCUGAUCCACAACCUGGGGCCACCUGCCCAAGAAAUCAACUUCCUUAUGUACGAAUAAACAACCGGGGAAGCCAGCCUGCUAUUAUAUAAGUCAGACUCACAGGGAGCCAGGCAGUUAUCUGUAGUAACAAACAAUAACAUCCAUAACAAUCGGCUCCAAAUGGCAAGAGCUUGGUUAGUAACUGACACUUUCCCUAAUUUAUGUUCCCACUUGCAACUUAGGACCAACCAGGGAAAGCCAAAUAUGCACCCCUAACCAAGCACACUGGAUGUCCCCCUUCUAGUUAGCCCACAGGCAGCUUCCCCACACCAGCAGUCUCCAAUCAGGGCACACCUGAAGCCUUCCCUUUCCUCAGCUAUAAAGCUGUCCCACUCCUCUACCUGCCUUCUAAGCUCUGUCAAAAUGCAAGUGCCGGUGGCUGAUGCCGGUGGCUGACGCCCUUGCGUCAGAAUAAAUAACCAUUGCUUUUUUCAUUUGAUGGGCCUUCGUUUUCACACUUUGUCAUCUUUAAGCUUUUAGCCCUUUGAAGGAUUCUGAGACUGGAAAAUAAAUGAAAGGAUUUUUCAAAGGGGGAAGUUCUU